GCCCUUAGAGUUUGAUCCUGGCUCAGGAUGAACGCUAGCGGCAGGCUUAACACAUGCAAGUCGAGGGGUAACAGGGAUUGCUUGCAAUCCGCUGACGACCGGCGCACGGGUGCGUAACACGUAUACAAUUUGCCUUGUACAGGAGGAUAGCCUUUAGAAAUGAAGAUUAAUACUCCAUAGUCUAUUGAGAUCGCCUGAUUUGAAUAGUAAAGAUUUAUCGGUACAAGAUGAGUAUGCGUUCUAUUAGCUAGAUGGAGAGGUAACGGCUCCCCAUGGCAACGAUAGAUAGGGGUCCUGAGAGGGAGAUCCCCCACACUGGUACUGAGACACGGACCAGACUCCUACGGGAGGCAGCAGUGAGGAAUAUUGGGCAAUGGAGGCAACUCUGACCCAGCCAUGCCGCGUGAAGGAAGACGGCCCUAUGGGUUGUAAACUUCUUUUAUAGAGGAAGAAACCCUCCCACGUGUGGGAGGCUGACGGUACUCUACGAAUAAGCACCGGCUAACUCCGUGCCAGCAGCCGCGGUAAUAAGGGCG
rnacentral:rRNA from 1 species